ACCCUAUUCUCCUCUCUACAGAUCCAGACCUUGCUGAAAAAGAUGAGGCUGAAACUGCUACAGCUCAAGUUCUGAAAAAGAAAUAUCUAAAAGAUCAGGGUUUCCAUCAGGGAACAGUUGCUGAACGAAUUAACAUGCUCACUGACGUUCACUUCCUUGCAUCAA